rnacentral:misc_RNA from 1 species
AGUCAUCAACCCCUCCCGUUUACGUGCGGGAGCCCAGGUUGGAGGUGGGGGUCUGCGGCCGCGAGGCCGCUCCCCUCAAAUGCGUCGGUCGGGCCAGUGGGCCUGCGUCGGUCGGGCGUUGUACCAUCCUCGCUCUGCUUCCGAGGCACCCCUUCCCUUUUGGGAGCCCCCCUUUGGACCCUGCCUUGCGGUGGCGGUCAACACACCUUGAA